rnacentral:rRNA from 1 species
GAUGAACGCUAGCGACAGGCUUAACACAUGCAAGUCGAGGGGCAGCGGGGUUGUAGCUUGCUAUAACUGCCGGCGACCGGCGCACGGGUGAGUAACACGUAUGCAACCUGCCCGUUGCAGGGGGAUAAGCGGAAGAAAUUCCGUCUAAUACCGCGUAAUAUACUUUAGGGGCAUCCUUUUAGUAUUAAAGAUUUAUCGGCAACGGAUGGGCAUGCGGCGCAUUAGCUAGUUGGUGAGGUAACGGCUCACCAAGGCAACGAUGCGUAGGGGUUCUGAGAGGAAGGUCCCCCACACUGGUACUGAGACACGGACCAGACUCCUACGGGAGGCAGCAGUGAGGAAUAUUGGUCAAAUGGGCGAGAGCCUGAACCAGCCAAGUCGCGUGAGGGAUGACGGUCCUACGGAUUGUAAACCUCUUUUGUCGGGGGAGCAAGAGCUCUACGUGUAGAGUAGUGAGAGUACCCGAAGAAAAAGCAUCGGCUAACUCCGUGCCAGCAGCCGCGG